UGGAUGGUUGUCCGAGCGGCCGAAGGAGCUGGUCUUGAAAACCAGUAGGCGGUAACCCCGUCUCAAGGGUUCAAAUCCCUUACCAUCCGCGUU
rnacentral:tRNA from 1 species